GCAGUACUUCCGGUCUCAUUCGUUAGGCUUGGAUUGGACAGUGAGAACUGGCAUGCCUCACUGUCGGCGUAUCCCCGGGGUGAAUAUGGAGCCUCUGCCAUGGUGUUGUGUGCGAGUCUGGCAACAUAUGCCCUCAUGAAGCAUCAGAUUCACCUACUGAAUGUAGGCCUGCGAUGUUUCACAUGAAAUCCAAUGAGUAAAUCGUACGUCAGAAGCUUAAGUAGUUGGUGUGAUGACCUGGGGUGUCCAGUGGGGGGUGCUCUUCUCUGGCUGAUCUAGUCUGGGAUGACGGCACAGAAAGGAGCAAAUGAACUGGGAACGCUUGGGGCUGCAGACCUGGUUAAGGAUUCCCUCUCCCCACCCCCCCAUGGGUCUGCUAAGUGGGGAAAGACGAGCUGGAUAGCUGAUACGUCUAAGGAGCCACAGUCCUAACUCAAGUUUCUCUUAAACCAUUUCUGCUGUUGUCUUAACAUUCCUGUUCAAUGUGAUGUAAGUCAAUAUCCAAAUAAAAGCAUUUGGUGUGA